rnacentral:rRNA from 1 species
AUGACAACACUUUGGCUCCUGCCGGCUGACAAACAUGACACGCAGGCCAUGUAUAAUUUUGAUGAGAAAAAGACUACCUUGGAUAUGACCAAAAAUAUUGCAUACACGCAUAUUUGUCAGGUGAUUUCUAGUGCAAACUAUUCAAUAAUCUAUUUAUGUUAUCCAGAACAAAAAUACUUCACACACUUUUGUGUUUUGUCUAAUUGCAGGUGUAUGGGACAUUUGUACAAUCCACAUAUGAAGAUAAGGGAAAAGGAGAUGUUUAGGUUCUGUCCAAAAAGUUCUCUCACGUCGCUUUUGGGCCAAGAGAAGAUAGAGUCCAAGUCUCUCACGUUUUGGAUUCAGAUUCGGACUGCACAGACAUACCUAACUCAAAACGCCAACAACUUUUUCAUACCGAGUCCGAAUUGGGUGAUUCUUUUUUUGUUGGAAAGUAGAUUUCGUGCCCUUUCCAACCCAAUUGGAUUCACCUUCAAAUUCGUCUGGAGCGUUGAGAUAUCGAUGAAACUAUCUGACAUUGCAGCAGAAUCCGAGUCAAACAACAAGUCCAAAGGUGUUGCAUCACCUCCACUUGGGCCCAUGAGCCUUGUACGACCUAGGGUUAGUUUUAGGCUGUCUUGGGAUGUCCUCCCACCUCCUUGGCGGCCACCCCUUGCUCCUAUAUAA